UACGUAGGGGGCAAGCGUUGUCCGGAAUCAUUGGGCGUAAAGAGCGUGUAGGCGGCCCGAUAAGUCCGCUGUGAAAGUCCAGGGCUCCAACCCUGGAAUGCCGGUGGAUACUGUCGGGCUCGAAUCCGGAAGAGGUGAGUGGAAUUCCUGGUGUAGCGGUGAAAUGCGCAGAUAUCAGGAGGAACACCAGUGGCGAAGGCGGGUCUCUGGGCCGUAACUGACGCUGAGGAGCGAAAGCAUGGGGAGCGAACAGG
rnacentral:rRNA from 1 species